CNANNGUUNNCNNGNCUNNGAUGACGCUGGCGGCGUGCCUAACACAUGCAAGUCGAGCGAUCUUCUUCGGAAGAGAGCGGCGGACGGGUGAGUAACGCGUGGGUAACCUGCCCUGUACACACGGAUAACAUACCGAAAGGUAUGCUAAUACGGGAUAACAUACUUUUAUCGCAUGGUAGAAGUAUCAAAGCUCCGGCGGUACAGGAUGGACCCGCGUCUGAUUAGCUAGUUGGUAAGGUAACGGCUUACCAAGGCGACGAUCAGUAGCCGACCUGAGAGGGUGAUCGGCCACAUUGGAACUGAGACACGGUCCAGACUCCUACGGGAGGCAGCAGUGAGGAAUAUUGGACAAUGGAUGGAAAUCUGAUCCAGCCAUGCCGCGUGCAGGAAGGCGGCCCUAUGGGUUGUAAACUGCUUUUGUACGGGAGCAAUAAGGUCUACGAGUAGAUUGAUGAGAGUACUGUACGAAUAAGCAUCGGCUAACUCCGUGCCAGCAGCCGCGGUAAUACGGAGGAUGCGAGCGUUAUCCGGAUUUAUUGGGUUUAAAGGGUGCGUAAGCUGUUAUGUAAGUCAGUGGUAAAAAGGUACAGGCUUAACUUGUAUAUGCCAUUGAAACUGUAUAGCUAGGAUAUGGAUGAAGUGUGCGGAAUGUGUGGUGUAGCGGUGAAAUGCAUAGAUAUCACACAGAACACCCAUAGCGAAGGCAGCACACUAAAGCGAUAUUGACGCUGAGGCACGAAAGUGUGGGGAUCAAACACGGAUUAGAUACCCUGGUAGUCCACACUGUAACGAUGAUAACUAGCUGUGUCGAUAUAAUGACAGUAGCGAAGCGAAAGCGAAUAGUAUCUACCUGGGGAGUACGGCGCAAGGUGAAAACUCCAANNAAAUGAUNNGGGNCGCACAGCGAGANCAUGUGNUUAAUUCCNUGAUACGCNAGGAACCUACCCGGC
rnacentral:rRNA from 1 species